rnacentral:rRNA from 1 species
AGUGAACGCUGGCGGCAGGCCUAACACAUGCAAGUCGAACGGCAGCACAGGGGAGCUUGCUCCCUGGGUGGCGAGUGGCGGACGGGUGAGGAAUACAUCGGAAUCUACCCUUUCGUGGGGGAUAACGUAGGGAAACUUACGCUAAUACCGCAUACGAUCUGAGGAUGAAAGCAGGGGACCGCAAGGCCUUGCGCGAUUGGAUGAGCCGAUGUCCGAUUAGCUAGUUGGCGGGGUAAAGGCCCACCAAGGCGACGAUCGGUAGCUGGUCUGAGAGGAUGAUCAGCCACACUGGAACUGAGACACGGUCCAGACUCCUACGGGAGACAGCAGUGGGGAAUAUUGGACAAUGGGCGCAAGCCUGAUCCAGCCAUGCCGCGUGUGUGAAGAAGGCCUUCGGGUUGUAAAGCACUUUUGUUGGGAAAGAAAUCCUGUCGGCUAAUACCCGGCGGGGAUGACGGUACCCAAAGAAUAAGCACCGGCUAACUUCGUGCCAGCAGCCGCGGUAA